CCAGGACCCAAAAAGGUCAUGAGGGUAUGGGGCAGAGUCCAGACCCAGGUUAGGGGCUUAAAGGAUCUGAAAUGGGUGCGGCAAACCAGGAAUGGGUCUUGAGGCCCCACACCCCACCAAACUCCGUACCAGCUGGACCCGGCCAACAUCACGCUGGAACCCAUGGAAAUCCGCACUUUCCUGGCCUCAGUUCAAUGGAAGGAGGUGGAUGGUUAGGUCUGCUGGGAUGGGCCCUCCAAGCCCAAGCCUCCUGCUCCGGGGGCAGACCAGACUCUGACUCUCCUCUUGGGGCUGCUGCCAUUAAAACGCUACUACUAAGACUC
rnacentral:lncRNA from 1 species